rnacentral:misc_RNA from 1 species
UUCCCCAGAGGCCGGUUCUUGUGCUGCCUACCCCUUCAGGGGAAGCGGGCCACUUGAUGUAAGCCUCCAUCCGGCGCCCUCCAACGGGCGCAGGAGGACAACGGAGCACCCCCCGCGUUCCACCGAGCCUUUGGCGGUCGUGUGGCGCGCGGGGACGUGCGAUGCUCUCGGACCCAGCGAACGCCGUGGGCGAGGACUCACGUCCCAGUCCCGAUAGAAGCUUCGAUAUAAUGCAUGACGGCCGCUCCCGCCCCCCGACCGCCCCGGCGGCGCGUGGGCGAGGCGCGGCGUCGCGGAGGAAUGC